UACAGAGGUCUCAAGCGUUGUUCGGAUUCAUUGGGCGUAAAGGGUGCGUAGGCGGCGCGGUAAGUCGGGUGUGAAAUCUUGAAGCUUAACUCCGAAACUGCAUUCGAUACUGCCGUGCUUGAGGACUGGAGAGGAGACUGGAAUUUACGGUGUAGCGGUGAAAUGCGUAGAUAUCGUAAGGAAGACCAGUGGCGAAGGCGGGUCUCUGGACAGUUCCUGACGCUGAGGCACGAAGGCCAGGGGAGCAAACGGG
rnacentral:rRNA from 1 species